CAGUAACCGCGGUAAUACGAAGGGUGCAAGCGUUAAUCGGAAUUACUGGGCGUAAAGCGUGCGUAGGCGGUGAGUUAAGUCUGCUGUGAAAUCCCCGGGCUCAACCUGGGAAUGGCAGUGGAUACUGGCUCGCUAGAGUGUGUCAGAGGAUGGUGGAAUUCCCGGUGUAGCGGUGAAAUGCGUAGAGAUCGGGAGGAACAUCAGUGGCGAAGGCGGCCAUCUGGGACAACACUGACGCUGAGGCACGAAAGCGUGGGGAGCAAACAGGAUUAGAUACCCGAGUAGUCCCUGUCUCUUAUAC
rnacentral:rRNA from 1 species